ACCUUCAGAUAAACGAGACAUUUAAACAGGACAGGAAAAUAGGUUUCCAGAUGGAGAGGUCAAAAUUAGAAACAGAACUGUUAGAACCCAAUACUAAGAAUCUGUCGAGAAUGUAUAAUCUGCUGUUGAAAUGGAACACACAGGAUGAAACGGUGAAAUCAGCUAUGAUAAAAUGGGCACAAGAUAUUGGUCAUAACAUUAUGUUUGCUGACUGGGAACAGUUGUGGACCACCGGUAUUAAAUUUACGGCAUGUAAUGCCUUAAGAGAAACAUUAUGAAAAUGAUGUAUAGGUGGUACAUGACCCCAGUCAAGCUCGCAAAAAUUUAUCAUCUGCCCAAUAACAAAUGUUGGAAAUGUAAUGAGACUGAAGGUACUUUUAUCACCUUUGGUGGACAUGCCCGAGGAUAAAAGCUUUUGGGAAAUGAUCUAUAAUGAAAUUAAGAAGGUUCUUAAAUGGACCUUCCCUAAAAACCCGAGGCUUUUCUCCUGGGCAUUGUCGGCCAAUUGGUGAGAAGGAAGGACAGGACGUUUUUAUGUAUGCGACUACAGCAGCAAGGAUUCUUCUAGCAAAGUAUUGGAAGACACAACAACUACCCACACUGGAAGAAUGGCAGACGAAGGUGAUCGACUAUAUGGGACUGGCGGAAUUGACUGGCAGAAUCCGUGACCAGGGGAAAGAGACAGUGGAAGAAGAUUGGAAGAAAUUUAAAGUUUAUCUUAGAACUUGUUGCAAAAUUCAGGAAUGUUAAAAUGUCAAGGGGUUGGGAAAUAGAGAACUGCAGCUGUAAUUAAUAUUAUUAGAAGAACUUAAAAGAAAUUGAAUUGAAUAAUUAGUUAAUUGAGGAGUUGCUGAAGAAAUAUAAAACAAGGAUGCAGAAAGGGGAGGUAUGGGGAAGUCCGGAAAGUAAGGCUUAUGAAAAAUGGUUAUGAAAUUAUACAUGUUUAUAUGUUUGUAUGUCGGUGUAUUGUGUAUUGUUUGUUUU